ACAGCAUAUAUGUGAAAAUAUGUUUUGAUAUCUAUCUAUAUCUAUACUAUUAUAAAAAAGAGAAGUGAUGUAUAAAAAAGUAAUUUGACUAUGCUGGUAGAAGAGGAAGUUCAUCAGAUUUUUAAGACGCUGCAGGGACAGGCUAGGGAUUUCAUCCUACAUUCAUGUCACUAAUCAAUCUCACCACCGUAUGUCCUUUCAUCUUCCUCCUAAAUCCCUAUAGAACCAGAUGAUCGGUCCAUCCCUUUUUCAUGAACCUUCAAUCCCUUGUACGGUGAAGAUUGUGGAUGAUAGCAACGCACACGAUCUGAACAGGAUGAGGAAUUUUACCUCACUUCAUUCCGAUUUGACUCUGUUUUCUUCUUUCAAGUAUCUGCACUGAAAUCGAGUUUCUACAAACUUCUUGAUCCGUUUAUCAGGAUAUCUCUCUUCUUCAUGGUCUGGGAAUCAAAUUUGUUCUUGUUCCAGGGAAACAUGUACAGAUUGAUAAGCUUUUAGCUGAAAAGGGACGUGAACCAAAAUACGUUGGAAGAUACAGAAUUACCGACCCUGAUUCGCUCAAGGCCGCGACGGAUUUAGCUGGAAGAAUCCGGUUGAUGAUCGAGGCAAAGUUGUCACCAGGGUCGUCUUUAUGCGACAUCCGUAGACACGGAGAGAAAAGGCCGUUGCAUUCUAGUGUCAGUGUUGCAAGUGGUAAUUUUCUUGCUGCCAAGGAAGGAGGAGUUUUCGAAGGCAUUCAUUAUGAAGUAACGGGUGAAGUAAAGAAAGUGGAUGUUCAUCGCAUACGUGAGCAGCUGGAUAAUGAUUCUAUUGUGAUUUUAAGCAACCUUGGAUAUUCUAGCUCCGAAGGUGUACUGAAUUGCAAGUAUGCUAUGUAGUUGUUAAUAGGUAUUUUUUGUUACUGUUUGCCGGGAUCUAAACAAAUAUAAAAAUAACAAGAUUAUCGUCGCUCCAUCCCAAGUUUUUUGACCCGAGUAAUAAAAAUAGGUUUUCGGUGACCCACGAUUAUGUUGGAGACAUAGUUUUGAUGCAAACUUUUUAAUUAUUAAUUGAUUUUUGUGGUAAAUAAUAAUGCAACAUGUAGGAAGUUGCUAAAGCUUGUGCGUUGGCGCUUGGAGCAAAGUAACUUAUCUGCAUUAUCGAUGGGCCAAUUCUGGAUGACUGGGGCUGGUUAAUCAGAUUUUUGACACUUGAAGAUGCUGACAUGUUAAUACUUAGGUGAGCCAAGCAAAGCGAGAUUGCAGGUCCGCUCUUCUCUUCUGCUCCUACACACUGAUCGAAUAACGAGGAUUCCAUUUUCCGGUGUCGGUUUCGUCAUUACAAGAGUGGUAGGGUUGUUUUCGGAGAGUACAACCGUUACUCCGAUUGUUUGGUUGUGAUAGAAAAGAUGCAAGGGCGGACUAGAGUUCAGGAUAGGCGAUGAAGCCUUGUAUUUGUGGUCCGAUCGGAGGUAAUAUAUGGCAAGCGUUGGUGAAUCACCCGCUAACUUUUUUACUUUUCAAAUUGCAGGAAUCCAGUCGCACCAUAGGUACAUCUUCAAUGAUCAGGCGGUUUCUGAUCCCUCACGAAGCCCUUUGCUCAAAUCGUGCACGCGAAGUCCACUCAGUACAAAUAGACGGAACGAAAAUCAACUUAGUCGCCACCACCGCUGCCAAGAAACCAGCAAGAUGAUUAUUUAUUUGGGAUGAUUUUGUUUGAUCUAGGAGGCUGAACGUUCAAGAUCCUUCAGAUUAUGGCAUACGCUGAACCUGUACAUGGAGUAACGGAUGCAAGGCAAGUGACUAAUCUUCCUAGAAAACCCCGAGUUCUGCUAGCUGCAAGUGGAACUGUGGCUGCCAUAAAAUUCGGGAACCUGUGCAGCUGUUUUUCAUAUUGGGUAGAUGUAAAAGCUGUUGCAACACUACCGGCUCUACAUUUUAUUGAUAAAACAACACUCUCGAAAGAUGUGAUUCUUUAUACGGAUGAGCAUGAAUGGUCUUCUUGGUCAAAGAUUGGAGAUAGGGUGCUCCACAUUGAGCUCCGUCAAUGGGCUGAUGUUAUGGUAAUCGCCCUGUUGUCCGCAAAUACACUCUCCAAGAUAACAUAUCAUGGCGAUUUGUACCCUCUUUCCUAGAUGUAGCAAAUGGGCGGGUUGGGCAAUGGGUUAUUUUACUACGCGUCGGGUUGGAUUGAACAGUAAACAUUUUCUUGCCCACUUUCUCUUCUUUUUUAUAUACAUAGUUAAUGUUUUUUUGGGUAAAGAUAUACAUAGUUAAUGUUAUAUGAUAAAUAAACAGUAUUUGAUAA